rnacentral:rRNA from 1 species
CGCAAGCGUUGUUCGGAUUUACUGGGCGUAAAGCGUCCGUAGGUGGUUUGUUAAGUCAGGGGUGAAAUCCUGGGGCUCAACCCCAGAAUUGCCUUUGAUACUGGCAGGCUGGAGCAUGAUAGAGGAAAAUGGAAUAUCUGGUGUAGGGGUGAAAUCCGUAGAUAUCAGAUAGAACACCAAUGGCGAAGGCAGUUUUCUGGAUCAUUGCUGACACUGAGGGACGAAAGCGUGGGGAGCGAACAGAAUUAGAUACUCUGGUAGUCCACGCCCUAAACGAUGCAUGCUUGUUGUUGGUUUUCUUCGGAGAAUCAGUGACGUAGCUAACGCGUUAAGCAUGCCGCCUGGGGAGUACGAUCGCAAGAUUAAAACUUAAAGGAAUUGACGGGGACCCGCACAAGCGGUGGAGUAUGUUGUUUAAUUCGAUGCUACGCGAGAAACCUUACCGACCUUUGACAUUGUGAUCGCGAUUUCCAGAGAUGGAUUUCUUCAAUUCGGUUGGAUCAUGAACAGAUGCUGCAUGGCUGUCGUCAGCUCGUGUCGUGAGAUGUUAGGUUAAGUCCUGCAACGAGCGCAACCCACGCCUUAUGUUGCCAGCGGGUAAUGCCGGGAACUCUUAAGGGACUGCCUGCGUCAAGCAGGAGGAAGGUGUGGAUGAUGUCAAGUCAUCAUGGUUCUUACGGGUCGGGCUACAAACGUACUACAAUGGCGUCAACAAUGGGUCGCUAUGCUGUGAAGCAAAGCUAAUCCUUAAAUGUCGCCCCAGUUCAGAUUGUUCUCUGCAACUCGAGAACAUGAAGUUGGAAUCGCUAGUAAUCGCUGAUCAGAAUGCAGCGGUGAAUACGUUCCCGGGUCUUGUACACACCGCCUGUCAAACCAUGAGAGUCGAUUUCGCCCAAAGUCGGUAGUCUAACGCAAGGGGACGCCGCCUACGGUGGGAUUGGUGAUUGGGGUUAAGUCAUAACAAGGUAGCAGUA